UGGAGGCAGCAGUGAGGAAUAUUGCACAAUGGGGGAAACCCUGAUGCAGCAACGCCGCGUGAAGGAUGAAGGUCUUCGGAUUGUAAACUUCUUUGAUGAGGGACGAAUAAAUGACGGUACCUCAAAAACAAGCCACGGCUAACUACGUGCCAGCAGCCGCGGUAAUACGUAGGUGGCAAGCGUUGUCCGGAAUUAUUGGGCGUAAAGGGCGCGUAGGCGGUCCUUUAAGUCAGAUGUGAAAUCCCGAGGCUCAACUUCGGGCGUGCAUUUGAAACUGGAGGACUAGAGUGCAGGAGAGGUAAGUGGAAUUCCUAGUGUAGCGGUGAAAUGCGUAGAUAUUAGGAGGAACACCAGUGGCGAAGGCGACUUACUGGACUGUAACUGACGCUGAGGCGCGAAAGCGUGGGGAGCAAACAGGAUUAGAUACCCCGGUAGA
rnacentral:rRNA from 1 species